GGAAUUACGACGGGGACCCGCUACAAGCGGUGGAUGAUGUGGUUAAUUCGAUGCAACGCGAAAAACCUUUACCUACCCUUGACAUGCCAGGAAUUCUGCAGAGAUGUGGAAGUGCUCGAAAGAGAACCUGGACACAGGUGCUGCAUGGCCGUCGUCAGCUCGUGUCGUGAGAUGUUGGGUUAAGUCCCGCAACGAGCGCAACCCUUGUCAUCAGUUGCUACGAAAGGGCACUCUGAUGAGACUGCCGGUGACAAACCGGAGGAAGGUGGGGAUGACGUCAGGUCCUCAUGGCCCUUAUGGGUAGGGCUACACACGUCAUACAAUGGCCGGUACAGAGGGCAGCCAACCCGCGAGGGGGAGCCAAUCCCAGAAAACCGGUCGUAGUCCGGAUCGCAGUCUGCAACUCGACUGCGUGAAGUCGGAAUCGCUAGUAAUCGCGGAUCAGCUUGCCGCGGUGAAUACGUUCCCGGGUCUU
rnacentral:rRNA from 1 species